GCCUACGACCAUAUCACCCUGAAUGCGCCCGAUCUCAUCUGAUCUCGGAAGCUAAGUUGCUCGGUUGUUCGCGCCAAGUACUGUGCACUGGAGAUUAAGGCU
rnacentral:rRNA from 1 species